CAGAGCAAAAAGCUGAAGCCAGAGAGUGUGUUGCUGGAGGACGACAGCCACCUCUGCAUUGACGACGAGUUCUGGACACCCGUUACCAGAAAACAGCCUUCACAUUGCCAUUUUCAGUCCAAAAUGGUGCUGCUUCAGGACACAGUGUUCAUGUGCACAUACAUACGCAUAUGUGUGCACAGUUACACUUGAAAACCAGCAGAUGUUACCUGUGCCUGUUGUGCAUCCUCGACUCCAGUCGCUCGACACUGAACCUCCUUCGUGGGAGGCUAUGACCCGAUACAGUGCUGGACAUUUUUGUUAAUGUUUGUAACCCCUGUGUUGGGGAGGUGGAGACAGAAGAUCCCUGGGGUUUCCUGGCCAGCCAGUCUAGCCAACCAGAGAGACCCAGGGAGUCUGCAGAGGCACGAAGGAGGUUUACAGGCAUCAACUGAGGAAGCGGGAGACUCGGGCCCCAGCCUGGAGGUGGCACUGCUGAGCGCGCCUGCGGGGUCCUGCUGUGGUUUCCUUCAGUAGGAACAGAAAGGAUGACACCAUUAUCUGUGUGCCACCAAACACUCCCCAGGCCACUUCAAAACUUGGAUGAAUGUGACAAUAAAAAGUCGAGAAAAAAUU